CUGCCACAUCCCAGGGCUUAUGGUGCAGCAGGCGCUUUUUUCAAGACAGGAAUGAAAGUGUUAGGAACACGGCAGAAAGGUGACACCUGGAGACCAAAUGCAGGAUGAGGAGUACUGCAGAGGUCACAGGGAAGUCACAGAACAGUAAUACGCUAGCAGGGGCAUGGGGCAUGAAGAACAGAAGACAGGAAGCAUUUCAGAGACUCCAAAGAAGAAAUCAGGGCCAACCACAGCUUCCCGGGUCAUUCACCAGGUGACACCACUGCCGUCAUUUCAGCUUCUGGCCACUGGGAGGCGCUGCUCGAAAGGCUUUGCCCUGAGACCCCAAGAAGCUGCGGGAAGGACAGCAGGGGCCCUGGGGUUUUAGCCUCUGGCCCAGGAGUUAUGUGUCCAUAACCAAAGGGAGCACAGUCUGCACCCAGCUCUCAUCCCAUCAGAGCUGCUGAGACUCUUGCAGGUUCUUCCAGAACUGGUUUAGCUUGCCUGCAGGAUCAGAAAAGUUUGAGAAAAGCAUCUGCAAAAUGCUAAAGAGCAGAGCUUAACUCAUUGCCUGUCCCCACCCCAUCCCAGGUCACCACUUGGCUGACCCCAGGUCCCCGACCCAACAACAACCCCUCCCAAGUCCCUAACUCCCUCACUUGGACUUGAGACCCUUCACAACCC
rnacentral:lncRNA from 1 species